ACUCCUACGGGAGGCAGCAGUGGGGAAUAUUGCACAAUGGGCGGAAGCCUGAUGCAGCAACGCCGCGUGCGGGAUGACGGCCUUCGGGUUGUAAACCGCUUUCGGCCUGUGACGAAGCGUGAGUGACGGUAAUGGGUAAAGAAGCACCGGCUAACUACGUGCCAGCAGCCGCGGUGAUACGUAGGGUGCGAGCGUUGUCCGGAUUUAUUGGGCGUAAAGGGCUCGUAGGUGGUUGAUCGCGUCGGAAGUGUAAUCUUGGGGCUUAACCCUGAGCGUGCUUUCGAUACGGGUUGACUUGAGGAAGGUAGGGGAGAAUGGAAUUCCUGGUGGAGCGGUGGAAUGCGCAGAUAUCGGAGGAACACCAGUGGCGAAGGCGGUUCUCUGGGCCUUUCCUGACGCUGAGGAGCGAAAGCGUGGGGAGCGAACAGGCUUA
rnacentral:rRNA from 1 species